rnacentral:rRNA from 1 species
UGACGGAGAUGUCGAUUGGAGGUUGUGCCCUUGAGGCGUGGCUUCCGGAGCUAACGCGUUAAAUCGACCGCCUGGGGAGUACGGCCGCAAGGUUAAAACUCAAAUGAAUUGACGGGGGCCCGCACAAGCGGUGGAGCAUGUGGUUUAAUUCGAUGCAACGCGAAGAACCUUACCUGGUCUUGACAUCCACAGAACUUUCCAGAGAUGGAUUGGUGCCUUCGGGAACUGUGAGACAGGUGCUGCAUGGCUGUCGUCAGCUCGUGUUGUGAAAUGUUGGGUUAAGUCCCGCAACGAGCGCAACCCUUAUCCUUUGUUGCCAGCGGUUAGGCCGGGAACUCAAAGGAGACUGCCAGUGAUAAACUGGAGGAAGGUGGGGAUGACGUCAAGUCAUCAUGGCCCUUACGACCAGGGCUACACACGUGCUACAAUGGCAUAUACAAAGAGAAGCGACCUCGCGAGAGCAAGCGGACCUCAUAAAGUAUGUCGUAGUCCGGAUUGGAGUCUGCAACUCGACUCCAUGAAGUCGGAAUCGCUAGUAAUCGUAGAUCAGAAUGCUACGGUGAAUACGUUCCCGGGCCUUGUACACACCGCCCGUCACACCAUGGGAGUGGGUUGCAAAAGAAGUAGGUAGCUUAACCUUCGGGAGGGCGCUUACCACUUUGUGAUUCAUGACUGGGGUGAAGUCGAAGAGGGGGAGAAAAAAAAA